GGAGGAGAAGAAGGUUCGCUGAGGAUGGAGCCAGGCUUACAAGAUGGGAAGGGGUGGGUUUGGGGUCCAAAAGUGGCACGUCCCGCUGAGCAGGCCUGGAGAGGUCACAGAAACUGUGGCUGAGCUCAAUGCACAGAGCCUUGGACCAAGAAGACUUUACUCUUCUCCUGUGCCUCCUUCCAUCUGGCAUUUGAGCUCAGGUAGCCAAGAACCAAAGAGCUAAUUCGCUGUAGAUAGAGUCAACCACAUAGAUGGAAUUGAACUUGGGUCCUUGUGCUUCUGAGGCAGGCAUUGGAAUAACUGAGCUAAAUCCCCAGCCCCAACAAGACAGUCUUAUUCAUGUGAACUGUUACAUUGAAACAUGGAGUAGUUAACUUCUAAACCAUAGAGGCCAGUUAUUAAAGUACUUUCAACUAUAGUUUCUUUAUUAUAUGACAAUAAGUAUCUUUGAUAUUUAAUUUUUUCUCCAUAUUCUGUCUCCUCAAGGCUGAGGUGCUGCUUUUCCGGGUGUGAAUACCAUCUUCUACCUUAUAUUUUGGAAUUGGCUCUCUUCUCUCAACAACAUGUCUUAUAUUAUUCUCUUUCUUUAACUUUUGACAUGGUCUCUGGUAAAUGCUGAGUGAUGCUUGCCUAUUAGAUGGACUUCAGCUCUCAGUCAACCACCCAACUAUGGACAAGGGAAG
rnacentral:lncRNA from 1 species